ensembl:lncRNA
GGGAAACUCCUUUCUAACCUGCACACAGAUAGCAGGUGAACAUCCCUCUUUAUAGAGGGAACACCUGCAUAUUACAGUUGAAUUCAGUACACUGUUCCACAGGUAUUCUUCACACCAAACACCACCCCUAACUAUCAGCCCCAUAUCGUUCCCAUUGUUCAUGCUCAGCUACUCCUAACAACCUAAUGGAUUAGCCUUUUAUUCAUCACCGUCGUCCUCAUCCACUCCCUCAGCUCUGGCAGGAUUCAAGCACGAAGGAGGCUGACCCUGAGCCAGGGCAUGUGGAGCAUUUGCUCCCAGCUGCUCGGCCACGAAGGGCAGCAGAGGCCUCCGGAGACGUGUAACUGUGCCAUCUCCAUGCCUUUGGGCAGGAUGCUGCACUUUGCAGCAACCCACUGCAGCUCUCUGGGAGCUCCCGACAGUAUGGGGUGUUGUGGGGCCCAAUGGAAUGGUUAUGGGCUCUGUUGGGUGUCUGUGGGGAACUAUGAGUCUCUGGGGUGCCCUAUGAGCUCCUGUGCAGCUCUAUGGGAUCUUAUGG